AUUGAACGCUGGCGGCAGGCCUAACACAUGCAAGUCGAGCGGAUGAGUGGAGCUUGCUCCAUGAUUCAGCGGCGGACGGGUGAGUAAUGCCUAGGAAUCUGCCCUGGUAGUGGGGGGACAACGUUUCGAAAGGAACGCUAAUACCGCAUACGUCCUACGGGNGAAAGCAGGGGGACCUUCGGGCCUUGCGUUAUCAGAUGAGCCUAGGUCGGAUUAGCUAGUAGGUGAGGUAAUGGCUCACCCUAGGCGACGAUCCGUAACUGGUCUGAGAGGAUGAUCAGUCACACUGGAACUGAGUACACGGUCCAGACUCCUACGGGAGGCAGCAGUGGGGAAUAUUGGGACAAUGGGCGAAAG
rnacentral:rRNA from 1 species